GGCAAGUCAUGUUGUCACCUGGGAAUCCAGGCUGUCCUGCAGGUCCUGGAGGUCCAGGGAUGCCAGUCGUGCCACUAAAGCAGUUGACACAGGUGUCACCUUUAUCACCUGAAAUGAUGAGCAGUUAUUUUUGCCAGGACGCCCAGGCUCACCAGGAGCACAGUUUGAUCCGCCACUGGAAAAGCCGGGAGGUCCAGGCGGUCCUGUUGAUCCUGGCAGCCCGGGGCUUCCUGGACGGCCCGGAGAUCCUGGAACUGAGAGGCCUGGAUUGCCGAUAUCUCCCUUUUGGCCUCUCUCUCCUGGGAAUCCUGGAGAUCCAGGUCCACCACCACCACCACCACUAGAAAUUCCUGGUGGCCCCUGAGGUCCUGUCAAACCUGGUCAAGGAUACAAAUGGGAAUUUGUUUUUUUAAAAACUGAUGAUGUUUAAUUUGUGUUGUGUUCCACUGACCUUGCGGUCCUCUGUCUCCUUUUAAGCCAGAUGAUCCAGGGAAUCCUGGCUCCCCUUUUGGACCAACCUGUCCUGCUGUCUGUCCGCCAAUCACCUGUUAGGACAAGAAGUGUGUUCAAGUGACGGACAUCAACUAAUACAUGGAAGUCCUGGUGUUCCUGGGAAUCCAGGUAAUCCAGAAGGUCCCUAAGAAGAUUGAUAACAAGAAUCAGACAGGGGUAAUGCACUUCUUUUUUUUUUAAAUUGUGCCCAUCAUUCACAAUUCCUAUGUAAGACAAGAACACAUAUGUCUUUUUUUUGUACAUUCUCAUUUGUAAUAUAAAGCAAGUACGAGGUGGCUAAUAGUGAAGCUAAUAGACGUAAUCUAUUGCGUCAAUGAAGUCUUCUAAAAACAUCCAAAAAGCGCCAACAAUACUGCAUUUACAUCUCGUGACCUGAAUAUUGACCAAGUAUCAGGCAUAUUGUUAUUAUAAGCGCUAACAAUGAAGAAGUACUUUGAUCAGUGCAGCGAUCACAGACUAACACAACAAACAAAACUAUACAGUAUGCAGCUAUUGGCAUACUGAGCCGAAGUUGGUAAUGUUAGUUCUAGAUUAUAAAUCAUGCAUCUCACUUGGACAGUAGAAGGUUGUGGUCAUUAGCUGAGAAGUUGGUCAACUUUUAUGUUUAACUUUGGACCCGGAUAUUGUGAGAAAGACACAAAAAGACGCCCGUUUGCACCCACGUUUUGUUUAUUAUUGUGUCCCUUGCGUGAGAAUCUCAGCAGGAAGAUCUGAGCCGAGGAUGUCGUUGUCGUUUUGAGACACUCGUGAUUUAGGGCUAUAUAAAUAAACUUUGAUUGAUUGAUGAUUGAUUGAUAAACAUCCCAUCAGUCGGCAUUCCACUGAGAGCAAACAUUGUACAGUAAGUGAUUGUUUUAUUAGGUUCGUAGUUUGUAUUUAUUGUUUAGUGCUUAAUAAUAAUGCUACUUGCUGGGUCUGUUUAUCACUCAGCUUCUAAAACGUGUAGCUCAUUCUCCUUUUUUUCAGGUUAAAAAAUAUUAAACUCCUGGAUCAUCAUUUGUCCCAAAGUAGUCGUUGGUUCCCAUAAGGUCUGCCAUGAUUAGCAAUAGCGAACGCUGUGAGGUGUCUGUGAAAUUAAAGCGCCGCCGUAUGCUUAUAAUGACCAUAAUACAUAAAUAAUACUUGUUAUUAUGAAUGUUACGGCGUGGCCCAUUUGGGAGAGUGGGCGUGCCAGCAACUUAAGGGUCCCCGGUUCAAUUCCCACCUUCUACCGACCUCAUCACGUCUGUUGUGUCCUUGAGCGAGACACUUCACCAUUGCUCCUGAUGGGUCGUGGUUAGGGCCUUGCAUGGCAGCUCCCGCCAUCAGUGUGUGAAUGUGUGUGUGAAUGGGUGAAUGUGGAAAUAGUGUCAAAGCGCUUUGAGUACCUUGAAGGUAGAAAAGCACUAUACAAGUAUAAACCAUUUACCAUUACCAUUUACUACAUUACACAUACACUAUAAACGCUGAUGGAGGUUUUUGGAUGUUUUUUAGAGCACUUUAUAGAUGGGUUGCAUAUGACGUCACACUACUAUUUUCUUCUUUGCGGUUUAAUUCAGAUGAUGGUCAAGCAGCUUGAGCGUAGGUAGCAUUAAAACAAGUGAGAGUGAGUGUAGAGUUUGAGCAGACUAUGCCCUAUUGCUGUUCUGUUCUUGGGUGUUCCAGUCGUUCAAAUAGAGAGAUAGGAAAGAGCUUUCAUAGAGUCCCGAAAGAAGUGGUUCAUAAAGGAACUAAUGUUACGGAAAAAAAUUAAAGUGCAUCGAAGGAAAUGUCUCUUAAAAAUAUCACUUUCAUCAUCUUGUGCAAUACAAUCGGACCAUUCUUGUGUCUGCAGCGAUCACUUUGUUAAAUGUUUGUUUGAACAUUUGACUUGUUUGAGAAACUUGCUGUGGUGCAAUUCAGUUUAUUCUCUACUAUAUUAGUAGUGUUUGAGAGCAGAACUAAACGCAAAGAAAGGACAAGAGAUCGCAUUGUGUUCUUUUGUGGUUGCUACGCCUAAAUAUAACUACAAAGACCUGCUUGUGCAUAUAAACUAAAUAUUUUAAUUGUUGGUCCAAUCCACCGUAUUUCCUUUAUCCAUUUUUUAUAACAGAAACUAAAAGCUUAGUUGUUGUGCAGGAAAGCCAAGUGCUUUAUUCGACACAUUUAGCGGCUUUAAUUGGUGCUAUUUGUUAGCAUCAAGAAAAUAUCCUUAAUAGUAUCAAUAAACUAGAUGAAUAAAUCUCUGGUAGGCUCAACAAAAUAUACUGAAUCUUGAUAUCACUAGCUAACAUUGCUGAACAACAGGGACAUCUGCAGCUAAAUAAUGAAACAAAAUAUGAACUUCACACCAUAAAAACAACUGCAGACAGGAAAUCAACUGCAAACAAACUUAUCCUUUUUUCUCAUUAGCGUUACAAUCACAGCAGCACGACACUCGUUAUGUCAAUCAAGUACAUUACUUAGCGUUGCACGAAUAAAUCGAACUUUGUCUUUCACCAAUUUAUGUUUAAUUUGUGGACCCCUCAGAUGUAAAGACAUGAUGUGCCUCCAAUCUUUUCUUCUGUAAAUACCCUAAGUGUCAAAUGAUGUGAGGUCGUAGCUUGCAGUAACAUCUUGGUGAAAUGGUUUAAAUCAUUCAAAAAAUAAGUUUUCUUAAGAGUGUCCAAAUCCACUUCAUCCUGUUAUAAAUAUUUGUUUCAUGAUCGCUUUUAUAUUUGCCUCUAAACCUUUCAAAUCACGCCCAAAUCUGCACUGAUUCAGCUAAAUAAACAGUAGCCUAAUGGGGCUACGAGAUGAGUUUGCUAAGUGUAAAAUUGAGCUGCAUUUUUAAAUUAAAGAAACUGCUGUUCUAAAUGUGUCCACUGGAUGUCGCAAUAGCAAUUCUGUUAGGCAAGCAAAUAGCUACAUGGCAGCCCCAGAGUUUGACCUAUAAGUUAAAAUUCCUCACAUGAAUCAACAGACCGUACAAAAUAACGAAUGUACCUUUAGGGUGUAGGCUCAACCAGUGAGUAUCUACCACAUUUGGUACAUACUUUUGGGGGACUGACAAGCACGUGUGUGCAAGAUUUUAGCAAGAUUUGUUGAAAAACAUGGCCGCCUUUAAGCAAAACAUUGAUGCGAAACCUGGCAACUAACUGUAAGUAAUAGAUUGUUCAAUGAUUAUGCAACUUUGAGGAUAUUUGUAUUACAUACAUGUAUACUAGCAUGUUUUCCAAAGCACCACAACCUAUACGGUAAAGUGGGGCUUUAAAACAAACACUUAAAUUGCUGCGUGAGACACUGCACAUUGAUAUAGUUCUGUGAAAAUGAUUGUCUUCUGUGCAAAUUGAAAGAAAGUGAAUAAUGGAAAUGACAAAUGAGGUAGUUAAUACAUAGGAUAUUUUUUAUAUAUGCUUUAUUUUGUUUUUUGUUCAAUCCUAGACGGGCUGUGACUUAAAAGUUUUUUCUUUAAAAUUUUCCUUCAGAAUGUAACUAACUUGAAGUGUUUUGUCCGGAGGAUUAUUUGCUUGUUCUAUUUUGGGCCGAAGUAAAACAAUCUGAACUUGUCCUAGUUGUAUUUUUUGAGUUAUCAUGGCAGGAUUUUACUCAUCCGGCCCACGUGGGAAUAGAUUUUCCUCCAUGCAGCCCCUGAGCUAAA